ncrna:unclassified sequences skipping-rope RNA
ACGCUAAGAGGUGGGAAAGGUACCCCACGCGCCCUAGCGGUUAAAAAGAGAUGCGGGAUACGCCGACCCGCCUUAGCGU